rnacentral:rRNA from 1 species
AACGAACGCUGGCGGCGCGUCUUAAGCAUGCAAGUCGAACGGCAAGAGAGGAGCUUGCUUCUCUCCUAGAGUGGCGGACUGGUGAGGAACACGUGGGUAAUCUACCCUUAAGAUGGGGAUAGCUGCUAGAAAUAGCAGGUAAUACCGAAUACGCUCGGCAUAUCACAAGAGGUGUUGAGGAAAGGAAGCUACGGCUUCGCUUGAGGAUGAGCUUGCGUCCCAUUAGCUAGUUGGUGAGGUAAAGGCCCACCAAGGCGACGAUGGGUAUCCGGCCUGAGAGGGUGAACGGACACAUUGGGACUGAGAUACGGCCCAAACUCCUACGGGAGGCAGCAGCUAAGAAUAUUCCGCAAUGGACGGAAGUCUGACGGAGCGACGCCGCGUGGAUGAAGAAGGCUGAAAAGUUGUAAAAUCCUUUUGUUGAUGAAGAAUAAGGGUGAGAGGGAAUGCUCAUCUGAUGACGGUAAUCGACGAAUAAGCCCCGGCUAAUUACGUG